rnacentral:lncRNA from 1 species
AGUCUCUUCUUGCAAGGCCUUUCGCCCCUGGUCUAUGUGCGCCUAGUCCAUGUUGCCUUUCUUUUCCAACACCACCUCGAAGUCCGUGUCUGUUUCCUCCUUUCAGGGGUCUCCUGCUACCCCACUCUCUUUCCUUUUCUUUUUCUUCCUUUUCAGAGCUGGUUCCUCAAUGACUGGCUGCUUUACCUUCUUCUUGGACUUCAUCUUUUUCUUCGCGGGGGUUUUAGGGCCAUCUCCUAUGGGGAUGUAUUCCGGAGCCUCCACUUUGACUGGCUUCUUUUUACUUCGUUUCCUAGGGCAGCUCUCCAUGGACCCGGAGGGCUUGGAGUGGCCUGGGAGGGCGUCUCCCUCCUGGUGGAUUUUUUUUUCUUCUUCGCCUUCCCACCGUGUUCCCUGGGGCUCUUGUGCUUCCGCUUCUGCCCCAAGGCUACCUGUUCCUCACCCUCCUUCCCCACUGAGCAAGUGUCCACAGCAUCCCCGACCUCGCAGAACCAAGGGUCCUGGACUGAGAAAGCUGUGGGGUCCUGGGCCCCCUUUUUUUCCUUCUUAUGUUUUUUAAGCUUCUUGCCAACUCUGGUUUCCUCCUCACCCUGUCUGGGGUCUGGGGAGAUUUUCACCCCAGAGGCAUGGGACAUGGCCAGAGAUGACUUCCUUUUCUUCUGCCCACUGAGGAACUCCAAAUGGCCAAGCACCUGGUUCCUUGGGCUGGAUGACUUCUCUGUCCGUCUGGCACGCAGCGUGGUCUCAGGUUCUACGUGCCCCUCGCAAAGGGUGCUGACACCCUUCUCUUUCUUCUUUUUCUUCACUAGAGGCAUCUCACGUGCCUGCCCGUGGACCACACUCUUAGAGGGGGCUGUGGCUUUUAUAGGAGAAACAUGGGCAAAAUAAUCAUCAUUGUUUAAAAUUGAGUAUUGAGUCCCUGGUUCUUUGACCACUUUCUUCUUUUUCUUCUCUGGGAUCCCAGGGCCCAGGUCUACUUUCCGGUGGGCCAAACUUCCCCGCCUCCACAUGAGAGCCGGCUCCGCCGUGACCCGGAAGUCCACUUUCGGGUUGCACGCGUAGCUUCUCUUACACACAAAUUUUCUUCCACUUCUGCCACCCCUGAGACAGCAAGACUGAUACCUUAUUUUCCUCCUCCUCCUUGGCCUACUCAACAUGAAGAUGAUGAGGAUGACGACCUUUACGAUGAUCCACUUCCAUCUAAUGAUUGAGGCAGUGUCUCACUCUGUUGUCCAGGCUGGAGUGCAGCGAUAUGGUCAUAGCUCACUGCAGCCUCGAACUCCUGGGCUCAAGGGAUCCUGCCACCUCAGCUAAGGCCUGCAGUAGCUAAGACUAUAAUCCCUUAAAUAUUUUAGAAGAGAAGGAGCAAGAGAAGAAGAUCUCAAAAUACUUUUUCAACACUGGCUGGUUUUGAGAAGCUCACUUUCAAAAUUCGAUAUGCACAUUGCAUUUGAUGAGACAGUGGAGAUGGGAUUUCACUGUGUUGGCCAAACUGGUCUCGAACUCCUGACCUCGGGAUCCACCCGCCUCAGCCUCCCAAAGUGCUGGGAUUACAGCCAUGAGCGACCGCGCCCAGCCGUCACAGGAUUUCAUACUUAUUAAGAUCCCUCUUUCUUCUUUAGGAUUCCCAAGUAACUUGUCUCUGCUAUUUUUAAUGUAUAUGACCGAAUAAAUUCAAAAUGAGCCUCAUGAAAAUAGGCUAAGGUC